CAGCCGGGAGGAUCCAACGCUCUUCCAAGUUCAGGCCGCUGCAGGCUGCAGGCCACCCGACGGGGAACACAUCCCGCGAGGCAUUGGGCAUGAAGGGACAGAGCAUUUAGGGAUCUUGCAAGACCCACCCACUCUGCUUGAAUAGGCUAGAGACCCCCCACCAAAGCUGCCCUGGUGAGCAGGUCUCUGGCCACACUAAGGAGGGCCUUCAGGUGCAGAUAGGGUGGUGGGUGUCUUCCCACUGGCCCACUCCCACCACUUCCUGCUGAUGCUACAACUGGUGAAGCUCAGACUGACAGCCUCAGCUGGAGUCACCUCCUGGUCUGGAGAAUCCCAUGCCUUGGGACCACCCGUGCCUUGGGGGUCAGGAGGAAUGCCAGCCCUGCUGUCCUUGUCCUCAGUGAACCUGUGCUCAAGUUACCCACAAUGAGAAACUGUUUGUAUAAACUCAGUACUUCCCUGC